rnacentral:pre_miRNA from 1 species
UUUGUACUCCUUCCAUCCGAAAAAACUUGUCCCAAACUUGUUCCUCAAAUGGAUGUAUUUAGCACUAACUUGGUGCUAGAUACAUCCAUUUGAAGGACAAGUUUUUCCGGACGGAGGGAGUAUAAG